rnacentral:rRNA from 1 species
CCCUUAGAUGUUCUGGGCCGCGCGCGCGCUACACUGACGAAUGCAACGAGCUUAUAACCUUGGCCGAAAGGUCUGGGUAAUCUCCAAAUUUCGUCGUGAUGGGGAUAGAUUAUUGCAAUUAUUAAUCUUCAACGAGGAAUGCCUAGUAAGCGCAAGUCAUCAGCUUGCGUUGAUUACGUCCCUGCCCUUUGUACACGCCGCCCGUCGCUCCUACCGAUUGAAUGGUCCGGUGAAGCGUUCGGACCGUGGCCUUUGGACGGUUCGCCGUCUGCUGGCUGCGGGAAGUUCGUUAAACCUUAUCAUUUAGAGGAAGGAGAAGUCGUANCA